ACGUAUGGAGCGAGCGUUGUCCGGAAUUAUUGGGCGUAAAGGGUACGCAGGCGGUUUAAUAAGUCGAAUGUUAAAGAUCGGGGCUCAACCCCGUAAAGCAUUGGAAACUGAUAAACUUGAGUAGUGGAGAGGAAAGUGGAAUUCCUAGUGUAGUGGUGAAAUACGUAGAUAUUAGGAGGAAUACCAGUAGCGAAGGCGACUUUCUGGACACAAACUGACGCUGAGGUACGAAAGCGUGGGGAGCAAACAG
rnacentral:rRNA from 1 species